rnacentral:rRNA from 1 species
AUGAACGCUGGCGGCGUGCCUAAUACAUGCCAGUCGAGCGAACAGACGAGGAGCUUGCUCCUCUGACGUUAGCGGCGGACGGGUGAGUAACACGUGGAUAACCUACCUAUAAGACUGGGAUAACUUCGGGAAACCGGAGCUAAUACCGGAUAAUAUAUUGAGCCGCAUGGUUCAAUAGUGAAAGACGGUUUUGCUGUCACUUAUAGAUGGAUCCGCGCCGCAUUAGCUAGUUGGUAAGGUAACGGCUUACCAAGGCAACGAUGCGUAGCCGACCUGAGAGGGUGAUCGGCCACACUGGAACUGAGACACGGUCCAGACUCCUACGGGAGGCAGCAGUAGGGAAUCUUCCGCAAUGGGCGAAAGCCUGACGGAGCAACGCCGCGUGAGUGAUGAAGGUCUUCGGAUCGUAAAACUCUGUUAUUAGGGAAGAACAAAUGUGUAAGUAACUAUGCACGUCUUGACGGUACCUAAUCAGAAAGCCACGGCUAACUACGUG